rnacentral:rRNA from 1 species
UCAGAUCAUGUAAAAUUUUAAGGGUCGAACAGACCCAAUUUAUUAGCUUCUGCGCCAAUAAUUAAUUUUAAUCCAACAUCGAGGUCGCAAUCUUUUUUUUUGAUAAGAACUCUAAAAAAAAUUACGCUGUUAUCCCUAAGGUAAUUUAAUCUUAUAAUCUAAAAAUUAGGAUCACUUAAUCAAAAAUAAAUGUUUUAAUACAAAAAAAAGUUUACUUAAUUUUUCUAUCACCCCAAUAAAAUAUUUCUAUAUAUGCAUUAAAUUUUAAAAUCCUAAAAUUUUUUUUUAAUAAAAAUAUAAAACUCUAUAGGGUCUUCUCGUCUUCUAUCUAAAUUUAAGCUUUUUAACUUAAAAAUAAAAUUCUAAAAAAUUCCUAUAGAGACAGUCUUUUUUUCAUCAAACCUUUCAUACAAGCUCUCAAUUAAAAAACUAAUGACUAUGCUACCUUUGCACGGUCAAAAUACCGCGGCCGUUAAAACCCUUUCACUGGGCAGGUCAGACUUGAAAUUAUAAUCAACAA